ACACUCCUACGGGAGGCAGCAGUGGGGAAUAUUGGACAAUGGGCGCAAGCCUGAUCCAGCCAUGCCGCGUGAGUGAUGAAGGCCCUAGGGUUGUAAAGCUCUUUCACCGGUGAAGAUAAUGACGGUAACCGGAGAAGAAGCCCCGGCUAACUUCGUGCCAGCAGCCGCGGUAAUACGAAGGGGGCUAGCGUUGUUCGGAUUUACUGGGCGUAAAGCGCACGUAGGCGGACUAUUAAGUCAGGGGUGAAAUCCCGGGGCUCAACCCCGGAACUGCCUUUGAUACUGGUAGUCUUGAGUUCGAGAGAGGUGAGUGGAAUUCCGAGUGUAGGGGUGAAAUUCGUAGAUAUUCGGAGGAACACCAGUGGCGAAGGCGGCUCACUGGCUCGAUACUGACGCUGAGGUGCGAAAGCGUGGGGAGCAAACAGGAUUAGAUACCCUAGUAGUCCC
rnacentral:rRNA from 1 species